GAUGAACGCUGGCGGCGUGCCUAAUACAUGCCAGUCGAGCGAACAGACGAGGAGCUUGCUCCUCUGACGUUAGCGGCGGACGGGUGAGUAACACGUGGAUAACCUACCUAUAAGACUGGGAUAACUUCGGGAAACCGGAGCUAAUACCGGAUAAUAUAUUGAACCGCAUGGUUCAAUAGCGAAAGACGGUUUUGCUGUCACUUAUAGAUGGAUCCGCGCCGCAUUAGCUAGUUGGUAAGGUAACGGCUUACCAAGGCGACGAUGCGUAGCCGACCUGAGAGGGUGAUCGGCCACACUGGAACUGAGACACGGUCCAGACUCCUACGGGAGGCAGCAGUAGGGAAUCUUCCGCAAUGGGCGAAAGCCUGACGGAGCAACGCCGCGUGAGUGAUGAAGGUCUUCGGAUCGUAAAACUCUGUUAUUAGGGAAGAACAAAUGUGUAAGUAACUAUGCACGUCUUGACGGUACCUAAUCAGAAAGCCACGGCUAACUACGUG
rnacentral:rRNA from 1 species